AACAAGGAUUCCCCUAGUAACUGCGAGUGAAGAGGGAAAAGCUCAAAUUUUGAAUCUGGCGGUCUUCAUGGCCGUCCGAGUUGUAAUCUAGAGAAGCGUCUUCCGCGCUGGACCGUGUAUAAGUUUCCUGGAAUGGAACGUCGCAGAGGGUGAGAAUCCCGUCUUUGACACGGACUGCCAGGGCUAUGUGAUGCGCUCUCGACGAGUCGAGUUGUUUGGGAAUGCAGCUCAAAUAGGGUGGUAAAUUCCAUCUAAAGCUAAAUAUAGGCGAGAGACCGAUAGCGAACAAGUACCGUGAGGGAAAGAUGAAAAGAACUUUGGAAAGAGAGUUAAACAGUACGUGAAAUUGCUGAAAGGGAAACGCUUGAUNUCAGUCGCUCCGCCGGGGAUCAGCUCGCAUUUUGCUUGGCGUACUUCUUGUGGAUGGGUCAGCAUCAGUUUCGACCGUCGGAAAAUGACUCGAGGAAUGUGGCGCUCCUUUGGGAGCGUGUUAUAGACUCGAGUCGAAUACGAUGGUCGGGACUGAGGAACUCAGCACGGCCUUUUGGGUUCGGGGCUUCGGCCCACGUUAGCGUGCUUAGGAUGCUGGCAUAAUGGCAUUAAUCGACCCGUCUUGAAACACGGACCAAGGAGUCUAACGUGCAUGCGAGUGUUUGGGCGUUUAAAACCCGAGCGCGUAAUGAAAGUGAAAGUCGAGACCUCUGUCGUGGAGGGCACCGACGCCCGGACCAGAGCUUUUGCAAAGGAUCUGCGGUAGAGCAUGUGUGUUGGGACCCGAAAGAUGGUGAACUAUGCCUGAAUAGGGUGAAGCCAGAGGAAACUCUGGUGGAGGCUCGUAGCGAUUCUGACGUGCAAAUCGAUCGUCGAAUUUGGGUAUAGG
rnacentral:rRNA from 1 species